ACAAAAAUUCACAAUUGAAGAGAGAUGAUAACCAUUGCUCUCCUGUAUUAUUGCUAGCACUCCUCGUGGCCAGCUUCUUUUAUAGGAUCUCACACCACGAUAUUGUUUCUGUACUUGCUCGCUCUAGUACUUACAAUAAACAAGUGCCAGUAAAACAUCAAGCCGCUUGAGAGACGGCGCAGGCAAAUUAGCUAGAUGGUCAUUAGAUUUUCUACAUUUCCCCACCGACUGCAAUUUUUUCUUUCCCCUAUAAACUGGAAAACAUGCAUCGAAUUCUUAAGCCACAGCCGUGCGCACUGCAGCUUCAGCCUUCAGUUCCUGGGGGGCUGUAAAAAACUCAGCUGAAGCGAUAUAUUUUUGAGGGGGUCAAGUUCUCGCAGAGGCCAGGGAUUUCUAACGAGAUAAAUUCUGGCACGAGCGCUCAUCUUUGAUGAGAAGUAACAAGACAACGACAGAACCCACAGCCGGCUUCCUCCGGCUUUAUCCCGUUUCUCUUCUGCUUGGCUGAGGAAUGUGGGUGUCUCGCAGAGGCAAGAACAGAAGGGUCGACUGAAAUCCUUGCGGUGCUCCGAAUCCCUUGGGAACACAAGACGUUAAUGCUGACGUGACGCCUCUCUUAUUAGAUGGGGGAGACUGGAAAUCAGAGCUGGAGGACAAUUUUCUCCUCAUGGCUCCUCCGCCUUCCUGCCAAUUCCACACCUGCAGUGGCUAGAAAACCCACCGCUGGGAUUUUCUCUAAAAAGAGGAGCCGGUGAUGACGGGCAGAAAAAUGUUUCUCAAUAAUAUAAAAUCUGAAAAACUGUGACAGAAAACCUUUGCAAAAAUCCAGCAGGAAGCUCACGUUUUUAAAAAGCUACUAAACGGGCUCCAAUCUUCUAUUCUGGAAUGCAUAUCUGAACAUUUCCAUUGUUACGGGCACUGGAGUAUUAUGUCAUAAAAGCAUUUGCUGCUGAGUGCACUCUGCUGUCAAUCUGUGCAUGGUAUUUAUUGGAAUUCGGUCAUCUGCCACUUGUAAUUUCAUUUAGUCUGUUAAAAUUGAGAAAAACCCACCACACUAGAAUGCCAGGGCUAUUACAUUAACACAGAACACAGUUAUGCUACAAAUCCAUCAUCUUCAGAAUGACAAAAAAGUACUGCAUAAAAGAAGUUUUCAAGGCUUAAGACCUGUAUCCUGAAAACUAGUCCCACUGGUGGAAACGCUGCACAGUACCAAGAGCAUCUGAGGUAGCAAAGAGAUGAAACAUUCUUAAAACAUUGCUGUUCCCUGAAAAAAAAGCUGUCCUCUACUAUUUGAUUACUCUAGAAAACUGGAAGAAAAUGAACUAAGGACUGAGCUGACUCAACAACAGUUUCAACAACAGGAGUUUGGACUUUGUUUCUACAAAUCUUGGUGGCUACAUGUUUUGUGAGCUCUUUCUCCCUGUUAUACAGUAUGUAUCACCCUGUGGAAGAUGGCACUCUUGAGUUUCUGUUUUGUUGCUGGAUUCAUUUGUCACUUUUUUCCUGCCCUUCUGUUCUUUUAUCCUCUGUCUAGUAGUGUACGUAGCAAUAAAGGCUAUAUGUGCAAUUGUUAAGAAUUCAGAUUCCUAACUUUUGUGUUUUUUUUUAAUUGCUAGGCAGGGACCUAACUAUUUUUGAGGAUAGGCCAAAAGUUUUAAAACUGUUACAAGAGAGAUACCUGGCUGGGUAUAAGGAAUUACUGUUUUGUGGUAAGACAAGAACUAACCUACUCACUUCUGUGCUUAGGGAAACAGAUUUCAUUAAGAGU